rnacentral:rRNA from 1 species
UGGGGAAUUUUGGACAAUGGGCGCAAGCCUGAUCCAGCUAUACCGCGUGAGUGAAGAAGGCCUUCGGGUUGUAAAGCUCUUUCGGUCGGGAAGAAGUGUGAUUGUUUAAGAGAUGAUCACAUUGACGGUACCGGCAUAAGAAGCACCGGCUAACUACGUGCCAGCAGCCGCGGUAAUACGUAGGGUGCGAGCGUUAAUCGGAAUUACUGGGCGUAAAGGGUGCGCAGGCGGUUUCAUAAGUCAGAUGUGAAAGCCCCGGGCUUAACCUGGGAAUUGCGUUUGAAACUAUGAGACUAGAGUACAGCAGAGGGGGGUGGAACUCCAUGUGUAGCAGUGAAAUGCGUAGAUAUAUGGAAGAACAUCGAUGGCGAAGGCAGCCCCCUGGGUUGAUACUGACGCUCAUGCACGAAAGCGUGGGGAGCAAACAGG